GGAGCUGGUUAAGGCUCUGCAGGAUUUGGAGAACGCUGCAUCAGGUGACGCAGCUGUUCGGCAGAAGAUCGCCUCCCUUCCACAGGAAGUUCAGGAUGUUUCCCUCCUGGAGAAGAUCACUGACAAGGAUGCAGCAGACAAGCUGUCUAAAACUGUGGAUGAGGCCUGUUUACUGCUGGCGGAG